rnacentral:lncRNA from 1 species
GACAAAAUAUCUUGGAGCCUUAAUUGAUUCAAUUUAAUGUCGUUUUGUUGAUAUGAAUGUCACUAUUUUAAUUUGUAUUUAUGUGGAUUUUGGGUGUUUGGGGCACCACCAUUUUUCCUCGAUAUAUAUAUUUUUUAAUUCUUAAAAGUUCUAUCAUUGUCUCACUUCAUCAGUACAUUCAGCAUUAUAACCACCUACCCUGUUCUCCCCAUUUGACCACUGAAAGAACCUGCAGAGCAGCAGAAGACCAGCAGGAGCAGAGCGAGAGCACCAGGAGACAAUUGUUGGUGCACCAGGAGCAAGGCCCUGCAAUGCAGCUGAUGAGCCCAUUUACCCAGAUGAUUCAGCCUGCCCAGCAGCUGAACAGCAUGGCCGCAGGCAUGAAACUGGUGUUUGAAGAACCCAUUCAUAAUGAACUCACAGCUUAUACCGAGGGAAACAUACAGAGCAAAACCAGAAGACAGCAUUCCAAAAGAUAUCUAUCUAUGUUCCAGCACUUACUGUUUUUGGAGAGGGAAGUAUUCCCCUCCUGUGUGAAAGCCAAGGGGGAAUGCCUCCGUGAAGAAGGUGCCUUCCAUCAGCAGAUGUGACAAGUAUUUAGAUCACAAUUAAUAAUUUUAGAAUGUAUUCUCUAAUUAAACAUGGCUGCCUUUUUGACUGUGUAAAUGGUUUUUAACAGACCUACAAAUUAAUUGAUUUAAGAUUCCAGUUUCCCACCUAGCCUAAAACAAGUGAUUGACUGGGCAGAGUAGUUCCAUUAUUAGCUGACCUCAAGACUUAGUGCAGCAUCUGAAGCCGCCAGCUGAAAUGAGGGUGGAGGGAUGGAAAUAACAGCUGAAUGACCUCGUGUCCCAUUCUUUCUUCUAGUCUUGUUCAUGGUCUGAACUGUUUUCCUUUCUACUGCUUGAAAUGGAAAAGAAAUCCUUUGAACCGGCUGCAUGUGUGGUCUAUGUAGUUCUCUGUUGAAGGCAUGGCCAGGGAUUGAGAGGGCUUUGGAUAUUGUGGGCCAAAGGUUUUUUCUGAUCCAUGCCCAUGGUCUUCCCAAAUAACUGAAGAAAACCCCUGUAGACAUUUCUUUCUGAGAUAUUGGAGAGACCUUAGAAAAGAUUCACAAUUUAAUAAAAUAAAAUGACCACUUACUCA